rnacentral:rRNA from 1 species
CCUACGGGUGGCAGCAGUGGGGAAUCUUCCGCAAUGGGCGCAAGCCUGACGGAGCAACGCCGCGUGAGUGAAGAAGGUCUUCGGAUCGUAAAGCUCUGUUGAUGGGGACGAACGUGCGAAGGGUGAAUAAUCCUUUGCAAUGACGGUACCUAUCGAGGAAGCCACGGCUAACUACGUGCCAGCAGCCGCGGUAAUACGUAGGUGGCGAGCGUUGUCCGGAAUCAUUGGGCGUAAAGGGAGCGCAGGCGGGCAUGUAAGUCUUUCUUAAAAGUUCGGGGCUCAACCCCGUGAUGGGAAAGAAACUACAUGUCUUGAGUACAGGAGAGGAAAGCGGAAUUCCCAGUGUAGCGGUGAAAUGCGUAGAUAUUGGGAGGAACACCAGUGGCGAAGGCGGCUUUCUGGACUGCAACUGACGCUGAGGCUCGAAAGCCAGGGGAGCGAACGGGAUUAGAUACCCCAGUAGUC